GGGGACGUAGCUCAGUUGGUAGAGCGCUUGCAUGGCAUGCAAGAGGUCGAGAGUUCGAAUCUCUUCGUCUCCA
rnacentral:tRNA from 2 species